UUGGCGAAGGACCGGAAGCGAGGUAUAGAGUUCCUACGUUGUUUUAUUAAUUUCCGGUAGGAACUUCAUACCGUGCUCUUGGUCCUAGCACA
rfam:Rhodnius prolixus Rhodnius_prolixus-3.0.3-519.1, whole genome shotgun sequence.